rnacentral:rRNA from 1 species
UACGUAGGUGGCAAGCGUUGUCCGGAUUUACUGGGCGUAAAGAGCGCGCAGGCGGUCGUUCAAGUCGCGUGUGAAAGCCCCCGGCUCAACUGGGGAGGGUCACGCGAUACUGAUCGACUCGAAGGCAGGAGAGGGUAGUGGAAUUCCCGGUGUAGUGGUGAAAUGCGUAGAUAUCGGGAGGAACACCAGUGGCGAAGGCGACUACCUGGCCUGUUCUUGACGCUGAGGCGCGAAAGCUAAGGGGAGCGAACGGGG